GAUGAAAUUGCACUGAACAGGGAAGGGGGGUCAGCGGCCAACCUCCCUGCAGCUGGGCAAGAGCCAGGAAGAAGCAAGAAUGGCACAGAUGUGAUCGAAAGGCCCUCGGGGAGACCCGCUCUGCCACUGCGCCCACCACUCGUGACCACAGCUUGCUCCACGCCAGACCUCACGCGUUCCACCCAGUGCACGAGCGUGGCUUGCGACAGCUACCGUAAGGAGCCGGGGAGUUACCCACACGAGGAGGAACCAGCAUUCCCAGUCUCCCGGGUUGCCUUUUUGGAAAGACCUCUACAUUGUCCAGUCCCUGUAAUUUCUCUGCUCCACGUCUAACUGGUUUCCUGCGGGCUGCAGCGGGCUGAACUAGAUGAUCCUCGUGGCCCCUUCCAGCUCCAUAAUUAAAUGAAGGUGAAGCAUUGGAGCCAAAAGAUCUCGAUGGCA